rnacentral:ncRNA from 1 species
CGGGCGGUCACUCCACAAUAUGACCGACUGUACAUAAAAGAAGGAGGAUAAUAUCCGUGAGCUCACGGUGCGGCAGUGUGGAGACCUGUCGUAAUGCGGUGCAUCAGAUAAGUGAUGCCGCGAGGCGGUCAUUGAGAAGUCAUGACCGUCAGAGCCAGACCUAAUGUC